GCCCAGAUGAGCCUUGGUGGUCCGGGGUGCAGGCUUCAAACCUGUAGGUGAUGCGAGUCACAGAGGUUCGAUUCCUCCUUCUGGGC
rnacentral:tRNA from 1 species